GGAGAAAGAGCUGGGCGGCACAGCAGCUUAAAGGUAUAGCCUGGUAGCGCUCACGGGUUCAAAUCCCGUUUUCUCCA
rnacentral:tRNA from 1 species